rnacentral:lncRNA from 1 species
GGGUGAUUUUCCUGUUGGCAAGAGGCAGAAGAGACACACCAAGCAUCACCUUCAGGAACAAGCAAUUUAAGUACUAUAAUGAGAUGGGUCUUUUCAGAGUCUAUAAUUGGUGACAAGGACUGUGUAUGGUUUGGUUCUAACCAAAAUUCUGAUCAAAACCCGAAUAAGUUCAUUUUCUGCCUGAUUCAGCAUUUACAAGGGACCUACACAAAUCCUCAUUUCCAAAGGGAAUUCUAAUUAGACCAUUCAAAUGCCCGGCAUCUCCUUCUUAACUAUCAUUGAACCAGGAUAAGCCUGUGACUCAAGCUGUCUAUUCAUGACAUGAAAAUGACCUCCGUGGUAGAUUUUGAGAGGAACAGAGUCUUAGCUUUCACAUGUUCUCUUCUUAUGAAAGUCAAUAAAUAACCUUCAGAUACCUCGGGCUCCCUUCGU